rnacentral:lncRNA from 1 species
UGCAACGCAAUCCAAAUUCCAACCCAAGUUACCCAACGCACCGCUUCUCCUCCGCCGAACCCACCUUCCCCCACUCCGAUCCGAUCCAAAAUCGCCAUGGAUUUCUUCAAGUCCAUCCUCGCCGAGCCUGAGCCCGACCCGUCCUCGCCGCCGCCGGAGGCGGAGGCGGAGAGGGAGAGGGAGCACGCCGGAUCCACGUCGACCC